rnacentral:rRNA from 1 species
CAGUAGCCGCGGUAAUACGAAGGGUGCAAGCGUUACUCGGAAUUACUGGGCGUAAAGCGUGCGUAGGUGGUGGUUUAAGUCCGUUGUGAAAGCCCUGGGCUCAACCUGGGAAUUGCAGUGGAUACUGGGUCACUAGAGUGUGGUAGAGGAUAGUGGAAUUUCCGGUGUAGCAGUGAAAUGCGUAGAGAUCUGGAGGAAUACCGAUGGCGAAGGCAGCCAUCUGGCCUAAUACUGACGCUGAGGUACGAAAGCAUGGGGAGCAAACAGGAUUAGAUACCCGAGUAGUCCCUGUCUCUUAUAC